UACGUAGGGACCAAGCGUUGUUCGGAUUUACUGGGCGUAAAGGGCGCGUAGGCGGCGUGUUAAGUCACUUGUGAAAUCUCUAAGCUUAACUUAGAACGGUCAAGUGAUACUGACGUGCUAGAGUGCAGAAGGGGCAACCGGAAUUCUUGGUGUAGCGGUGAAAUGCGUAGAUAUCAAGAGGAACACCUGAGGUGAAAGACGGGUUGCUGGGGCUGACACUGACGUGAGGCGCGAAAGCUAGGGGUAGCAAAACGGGG
rnacentral:rRNA from 1 species